GUGACAAUCCAGAUCCACUUUUUCAGCUCUGUAGGCUGCAACUUCUUGUGUCAGUGCCUGUUCGCCCCAUCAAAUUCCAAAAGAUCCAUGCAAAGACCACAAUGCAGGCCUCAGAGAUUCUGAAGUCAACUUUACAAAGCUGGUGGACAGAAAAACUAAUGAUUCUUGAAUGAAAAUAAACCAAACAAGAACAACCCUUUAUUAUUAAGUAGGCCUUUGUAUGGUGGGUCUGUGGAACACAACUGUAAUGUCCAUCACAGUGGUGGCUUUACUUGGAAACCUUCUUUGCUUGGCUCUUUAUGACCACAACCUUCUGCUGAAAUAGUUUGGGAUUGUUGGUAAGUUAUUUGAGCUAAAGACGGUGUGUUGGGCAUGCCUCAUAGAGGUGGUAAAAUAUUUUUCUCACGUCCUGAAGGAAGAUCUUGAGACCUAUUCAGCUCAAAGAUCCUAGAUAAAUCCAAAGUGUUAGAGGAAUAGCAUACUCCGUAGGUGUAUCACCUCAGAUGGCUGACUAAAUCACGGCAUGCUUGAGGAGCAUGCUCAACAAGUUCUUACUUUAUUUACUUGGAUCACAUGAAAGGAGCCAACCCUGAGGAGUCGCUGGGCUUUGGGCUAUCACUUUUUGCUGAGACCACCAAUAGAACCUUCUUCAGUACUGAACUGGCCUUCAACCUUUAGGGCAACAGAGCAGCAGUGCUCCAGAGGACCUUGGCAAGAACCAUGCCAAGCUGCUACUGAAGGAGUCUACACAGGCAGAUAUGUGGAUUCUAUUAGCCAGAGCCUGAUUCUAGAAGCUGCUCAUGAUCCAAAUUCCUGCUAGGCCUGAUAUCUCCCCUGGAACACAGAGUAUUUGAAGCAUUUGAAGAAUUUUUUUCAGGUUAUGUUUAAAAUUAAAACCAACUCAUGUUGUGAAAAACUCAAGGGCACGGAUAGAGUACUGAUGACUUGUAAUGGA
rnacentral:lncRNA from 1 species